UAUCUCUCAGCUCCCUUAAUCACAUUCUGAGUGCGGUUGGCGUAUUUUCAGAGAGGGAGAGGAAGGUGCACCUAAUGCACGACAGACUGGCCCACAGUGGCCACUCUGUUCCUAGAAGUGCAACAGCU
ensembl:snoRNA